GGAAGUAAAAGUCGUAACAAGGUUUCCGUAGGUGAACCUGCGGAAGGAUCAUUAUCGUUGGGCUCCUGCCCAUUCGAGAUAACACCCUUGCCUUUUUGAGUACCUUUUCGUUUCCUCGGCAGGCACGCCUGCCAACGGGGACCCUUCAAAACGCUUUGUAAUACCUGUCAUUGUCUGAUAUAACAAGCAAAAAUCAAAACUUUCAACAACGGAUCUCUUGGUUCUGGCAUCGAUGAAGAACGCAGCGAAAUGCGAUAAGUAGUGUGAAUUGCAGAAUUCAGUGAAUCAUCGAAUCUUUGAACGCACAUUGCGCCCUUUGGUAUUCCUUAGGGCAUGCCUGUUCGAGCGUCAUUUAAACCUUCAAGCUCAGCUUGGUGAUGGGUGACUGUCCCCUCCCUUCGCGGGGGGACUCGCCUCAAAAACAUUGGCGGCCGGUACAUUGGCUUCGAGCGCAGCAGAAACGCGGUCUCGAGCCCGGUGGAUCGGCUCCCAUAAGCCUCAUUCUUUAUUUUGACCUCGGAUCAGGUAGGGAUACCCGCUGAACUUAAGCAUAUCAAUAAGCGGAGGA
rnacentral:rRNA from 2 species